CCUACGGGCGGCAGCAGUGAGGAAUAUUGGUCAAUGGCCGGAAGGCUGAACCAGCCAUGCCGCGUGAAGGUCAGUGCCCUAUGGGCGUUAAACUUCUUUUGUGCGGGAGCAAUAAUGGUCACGUGUGGCCAGACGAGAGUACCGUACGAAUAAGCAUCGGCUAACUCCGUGCCAGCAGCCGCGGUAAGACGGGGGAUGCAAGCGUUAUCCGGAUUUAUUGGGUUUAAAGGGUGCGUAGGCUGGGAGGUAAGUCAGCGGUGAAAUGCCCCCGCUCAACGGGGUGAAGUGCCAUUGAUAAUGCCUGGCUGGAAUGCGGAUGCCGUGGGAGGAAUGUGUGGUGUAGCGGUGAAAUGCAUAGAUAUCACACAGAACACCGAUUGCGAAGGCAUCUCACGAAGCCGCGAUUGACGCUGAUGCACGAAAGCGUGGGUAUCAAACAGGAUUAGAUACCCUAGUAGUC
rnacentral:rRNA from 1 species